rnacentral:rRNA from 1 species
UAGUACGGCGAGUGAAGCGGCAACAGCUCAAAUUUGAAAUCUGGCUCUUUCAGAGUCCGAGUUGUAAUUUGCAGAGGGCGCUUUGGCUUUGGCAGCGGUCCAAGUUCCUUGGAACAGGACGUCACAGAGGGUGAGAAUCCCGUACGUGGUCGCUAGCUAUUGCCGUGUAAAGCCCCUUCGACGAGUCGAGUUGUUUGGGAAUGCAGCUCUAAAUGGGAGGUAAAUUUCUUCUAAAGCUAAAUAUUGGCCAGAGACCGAUAGCGCACAAGUAGAGUGAUCGAAAGAUGAAAAGCACUUUGGAAAGGGAGUUAAAAGUACUUGAAAUUGCCAAAAGGGAAGGGUAGGAGGUCAGAGAUGCGUCUUGGGAUUCAGCCUUGCUUUUGCAUGGUGUUUUUCCCAAGUUGCAGGCCAACGUCGGUUUUGGGCACUGGAGAAGGGUAGGAGGAACGUGGCACCUCUCGGGGUGUGUUAUAGCCUCCUACUGGAUACAGCGACCGAGACCGAGGAACGCAGCGUACUCGUAAGAGCGGGCCUUUUGGCACCUUUACGCUUAGGGCGUUGGCAUAAUGGCCCUCUACCACCCGUCUUGA